rnacentral:rRNA from 1 species
UACGAAGGGGGCUAGCGUUGCUCGGAAUCACUGGGCGUAAAGUGCACGUAGGCGGAUCUUUAAGUCAGGGGUGAAAUCCUGGAGCUCAACUCCAGAACUGCCUUUGAUACUGAGGAUCUUGAGUCCGGGAGAGGUGAGUGGAACUCCGAGUGUAGAGGUGAAAUUCGUAGAUAUUCGGAAGAACACCAGUGGCGAAGGCGGCUCACUGGCCCGGUACUGACGCUGAGGUGCGAAAGCGUGGGGAGCAACAGG